rnacentral:rRNA from 1 species
AUCAAGUUAUUAAGUGCAUACGGUGAAUGCCUUGGCAUUAGAAGCCGAAGAAGGACGUAGAAGCCUGCGAUAAGCCUCGGGGAGUCGGCAAUCAGACUUUGAUCCGGGGAUUUCCGAAUGAGGAAACUCAGCUGGGGGAAAGCCCAGUUAUCCGCGCAUGAACACAUAGUGCGAUGGAAGGGAACGUGGGGAAGUGAAACAUCUCAGUACCCAUAGGAACAGAAAACAAUAGUUAUUCCGUUAGUAGUGGCGAGCGAAAGCGGAACAGGCUAAACCACAUCAAUGUGAUAGUCGGCGGACGUUGUUGGUGUGGGGUCGUGGGACGUUUAGUGAUUACUGCCGUAAUCACAGUGAGUAAAAAAUGUUUUUUGUAGUCGAAGACCAUGCGAAAGGGUCAGCAAAGAAGGUAAAACUCCUGUAGACGAAACAACUAACACUCACAAGCAUCAUCCCAAGUAGUACGGGACUCGUGUAAUCCUGUGCGAAUCUGUCGAGACCACUCGAUAAGCCUAAAUACUCUCUAAUGACCGAUAGUGAACAAGUACCGUGAGGGAAAGGUGAAAAGAACCCCGGGAGGGGAGUGAAAUAGAACCUGAAACCGUGUGCAUACAAGCCGUGGGAGCGUCUUUAGUCUUCGGACUAUCCGUGACCGCGUGCCUUUUGAAGAAUGAGUCUACGAGUUAGUAGCACGUGGCGAGGUUAACCAGUGAUGGGAAACCGUAGCGAAAGCAAGUCCCAAUAGGGCGAAUUAGUCGCGUGCUCUAGACCCGAAGCGGGAUGAUCUAGCCAUGAGCAGGUUGAAGCGUGGGUAAGACCGCGUGGAGGACCGAACCCACUGCCGUUGAAAAGGUAGGGGAUGACUUGUGGUUAGGGGUGAAAGGCCAAUCAAAUUCCGUUAUAGCUGGUUCUCUCCGAAAUGCAUUUAGGUGCAGCGUCACGUGUUUCUUCUCGGAGGUAAAGCACUGGAUGGGCUAGGGGCCUAACAAGGUUACUGAACUCAACCAAACUCUGAAUGCCGAGAAGUUAGAACGUGGCAGUGAGACUGUGGGGGAUAAGCUUCAUAGUCAAAAGGGAAACAGCCCAGAUCAUCAGCUAAGGCCCCAAAGCGUGUACUAAGUGGGAAAGGAUGUGGAGUUGCAUAGACAACCAGGAUGUUGGCUUAGAAGCAGCCACCAUUAAAAGAGUGCGUAAUAGCUCACUGGUCAAGUGAUUCCGCGCCGACAAUGUAGCGGGGCUCAAUUACACCGCCGAAGCUGUGGCAUGAACGCAAUAUCUUGGCCGCAAGGUCCAGGAGCGUUGAUGGGUAGGAGAGCGUUGUGUGGCGAGAGAAGCGGCGGAGUAAUCCAGCCGUGGAUGCCACACAAGUGAGAAUGUAGACAUGAGUAGCGAAAGACGGGCGAGAAACCCGUCCACCGAAUGACCAAGGGUUCCAGGGUCAAGCUAAUCUUCCCUGGGUAAGUCGGGACCUAAGGCGAGGCCGACAGGCGUAGUCGAUGGACAACGGAUUGAUAUUUCCGUACCGGCGUUAUUACGACAAUGAUGAAUAUAGAAAUGCUAAGAGGUUGAAGCUGUUGCCUUCGGGUAAUAGUGGAAAGUUCGAACCUAACUAUUAGUAGUCCAGCAAAGGUGUGACGCAGGAAGGUAGUUCAGCCCAGGCGAUGGUUGUCCUGGGGUAAGGCCGUAGGAAGAAAUGUAGGCAAAUCCGCAUUUCAUUUUCUGAGAGCUGAUGCCGAGCCAUUAUGGCGAAGUGAAUAAUCCUAUGCUGCCAAGAAAAACAUCUAGCGAGUAAUAAAGCCGCCCGUACCCCAAACCGACACAGGUGGUCAGUUAGAGAAUACCAAGGUGAUCGAGAGAACUGAGGUUAAGGAACUCGGCAAAUUACCCCCGUAACUUCGGGAUAAGGGGGACCAUUUUGCGUGUAGAGAUUAACUUUUGAAGCGUAGAGUGGUGGCACAAACCAGGCCCUAGCGACUGUUUACCAAAAACACAGGUCCGUGCUAAGUCGCAAGACGAUGUAUACGGACUGACGCCUGCCCGGUGCUGGAACGUUAAGGGGAUCGGUUAGCGAGUAAUCGCGAAGCUGAGAACUUAAGCGCCAGUAAACGGCGGUGGUAACUAUAACCAUCCUAAGGUAGCGAAAUUCCUUGUCGGGUAAGUUCCGACCUGCACGAAUGGCGUAACGACUUGGGCACUGUCUCAACCUCAGACUCGGCGAAAUUGCAUUACGAGUAAAGAUGCUCGUUACGCGCGGCAGGACGGAAAGACCCCGGGACCUUUACUACAACUUGGUAUUGGUGGUCGAAUUGAUUUGUGUAGGAUAGGUGGGAGACUGUGAAGCUGGAACGCCAGUUUUGGUGGAGUCGUUGUUGAAAUACCACUCUUAUUAGUUUGGCUGUCUAACUUCGAACCGUAAUCCGGUUUAAGGACAGUGCCUGGUGGGUAGUUUAACUGGGGCGGUUGCCUCCUAAAGAGUAACGGAGGCGCCCAAAGGUUCCCUCAGCCUGGUUGGCAAUCAGGUGUUGAGUGUAAUUGCACAAGGGAGCUUGACUGCGAGACCGACGGGUCGAGCAGGGACGAAAGUCGGGAAUAGUGAUCCGGCGUCGGAUUGUGGAAUCGGCGUCGCUCAACGGAUAAAAGGUACCCCGGGGAUAACAGGCUGAUCUUCCCCAAGAGUCCAUAUCGACGGGAAGGUUUGGCACCUCGAUGUCGGCUCGUCGCAUCCUGGGGCUGGAGCUGGUCCCAAGGGUUGGGCUGUUCGCCCAUUAAAGCGGCACGCGAGCUGGGUUCAGAACGUCGUGAGACAGUUCGGUCCCUAUCCGCCGUGCGCGUAAGAGUCUUGAGAAGGGCUGUCCCUAGUACGAGAGGACCGGGACGGACGAACCUCUGGUGUGCCAGUUGUUCCGCCAGGAGCACGGCUGGUUGGCUACGUUCGGAAAUGAUAACCGCUGAAAGCAUCUAAGCGGGAAACAUGCUUCAAGAUGAGGACUCUCACUGAUUUUCAGGUAAGACCCCUAGCUAGACGACUAGGUUGAUAGGCCGGAUGUGGAAGUGCGGUAACGCAUGGAGCUGACCGGUACUAAUAGGUCGAGGACUUGAUUCU